rnacentral:rRNA from 1 species
GAUGAACGCUAGCUACAGGCUUAACACAUGCAAGUCGAGGGGUAACGAGAGGAAAGCUUGCUUUCCUUGUCGACGACCGGCGCACGGGUGAGUAACGCGUAUCCAACCUGCCCCCAACUAGGGAAUAACCUUGCGAAAGUAAGACUAAUACCCUAUAAUUUCCUCAGAUGUCAUCUGACGAGGAAUAAAGAUUUAUCGGUUGUGGAUGGGGAUGCGUCUGAUUAGCUUGUUGGCGGGGUAACGGCCCACCAAGGCAAAGAUCAGUAGGGGUUCUGAGAGGAAAGUCCCCCACAUUGGAACUGAGACACGGUCCAAACUCAGACGGGAGGCAGCAGUGAGGAAUAUUGGUCAAUGGGCGGAAGCCUGAACCAGCCAAGUAGCGUGCAGGAUGACGGCCCUAUGGGUUGUAAACUGCUUUUAUACAGGAAUAAAGUUAGCCACGUGUGGUUAUUUGUAGGUACUGUAUGAAUAAGGACCGGCUAAUUCCGUGCCAGCCGCCGCGGUAA